rnacentral:rRNA from 1 species
UACGUAGGGGGCAAGCGUUGUCCGGAAUUACUGGGCGUAAAGCGUGCGCAGGCGGUUGUGCAAGACAGAUGUGAAAUCCCCGGGCUCAACCUGGGAAUUGCAUUUGUGACUGCACGGCUAGAGUGUGUCAGAGGGGGGUAGAAUUCCACGUGUGAGCAGUGAAAUGCGUAGAGAUGUGGAGGAAUACCGAUGGCGAAGGCAGCCCCCUGGGAUAACACUGACGCCUGCAUGCACGAAAGGCGUGGGGAGCAAACGG